rnacentral:rRNA from 1 species
AUGGUGGCGCACCAGGAGGCGGAGGCGACGACAACGACGACGGUGGACCCGAUGCGCCUGGCGUCGCGGUGGCGGUCCCCGGCGGAGUGGGUUGCCACCGCAGCGGCACUGGACUCGGAGCCCAUGCCAUCCGAGCUGAACACCGCCAACAGCUCGGGCCUCUUUGCAGUCGUCUCCGUCGACAAGAUGUCCGUCAAGUACCUCGGCGUCAACCACCACGGCCAUGACGUCGGAGUCGUGCAGGCCGACUGCCCCGCUCCCAUGCACCGAGCCGUCUACUACUUUGAGAUGACCGUGAGGAAUGCUGGGCUCAAGGGCCAGACCUCCAUCGGCUUCACCACCGAGAGCUUCAAGAUGCGCCGCCAACCUGGUUGGGAAUCUCAAAGUUGUGGAUACCAUGGCGAUGAUGGCUAUCUUUACCGGGGUCCAGGGAAAAGUGAGUCUUUUGGUCCCAAAUUCACAUCUGGCGACAUAAUUGGCGCUGGAAUUAACUACAUAGAACAACUUCUUUUCUUCACAAAAAAUGGAUCUCUCAUUGGAGCCUUUCCAAAAGAUAUUAAAGGACCACUAUAUCCUACUAUUGCGGUCCAUAGCCAGGAUGAAGAGUUGACAGUAAACUUCGGAAAAGAACAGUUCUGUUUUGAUAUUGAGGGUUAUAUUCUUGAGCAGAAAAUGACGCAACAAUCUAUUAGCGACAAACUGUACUUGCAACCUGAUAUCAGUCAUUGGAUUGUUCGUUCAUAUCUCCUACAUUACGGCUACCAAGAUACAUUGAAUUCUUUUGAUGCGGCAAGUGAAACUGACCCUCCAGCGAAUCAUCAAACUGGUUAUGGGGAACCUCCUGAAAUGUAUGGUCUUAGCCACAGAAAAAUGUUGCGUCAGCUCAUCAUGAAUGGGGAUAUCGAUUCUGCAUUCAAAAGGCUUGAAGAGUGGUAUCCACAGGUCUUAAAGGACGAAAUAUCAGUUAUUUGCUUCUUGCUUCAUUCUCAGAGAUUCAUUGAAUACAUCAGGGCUGAGCAACUGGAGGGUGCUGUAAAAUAUGCCCGUGCUAACCUGGCCAACUUUUUGGCACACAAAGCUUUUGAGGGGUUGCUGAAGGAGAGUGUGGCCCUGCUUGCGUAUGAGAAGCCUUCAGAAUCUUGCAUUGGAUAUUUGCUGGAGUCCCCACAGCGUGAAUUUGUAGCGGACGCGGUGAAUGCUGCCAUCCUGUCCACGAACCCCAAAAUGAAGGAUCCAGAGAGCUGCCUUUACUCGUGUCUGGAGAAGUUACUGAGGCAGCUCACGGUAUGCAGCUCCGAGCUACGUGCGUUCAACAGCGAUCAAGGGGAUGUCUUCUUACUUCAUAAGGAGAUAUACGAAAGAUCCAAGCGUCCCUAA